rnacentral:tRNA from 1 species
UUCCCUGUGGCUCAGUUGGUAGAGCAUGGUGUGUGCAACGCCAGGGUUGUGGGUUCAAUUCCCACGGGGGGAC